UGGCUCAGAUUGAACGCUGGCGGCAGGCCUAACACAUGCAAGUCGAGCGGAUGAGGGUAGCUUGCUACCUGAUUUAGCGGCGGACGGGUGAGUAAUGCGUAGGAAGCUGCCCGAUAGAGGGGGAUACCAGUUGGAAACGACUGUUAAUACCGCAUAAUGUCUACGGACCAAAGUAUGGGACCUUCGGGCCAUAUGCUAUCGGAUGCGCCUACGUGGGAUUAGCUAGUUGGUGUGGUAAUGGCGCACCAAGGCGACGAUCCCUAGCUGGUUUGAGAGGAUGAUCAGCCACACUGGGACUGAGACACGGCCCAGACUCCUACGGGAGGCAGCAGUGGGGAAUAUUGGACAAUGGGCGCAAGCCUGAUCCAGCCAUGCCGCGUGUGUGAAGAAGGCCUUCGGGUUGUAAAGCACUUUCAGUGGGGAGGAAGGGGUUGUAGUUAAUAGCUGCAAUUUU
rnacentral:rRNA from 1 species